rnacentral:tRNA from 1 species
AGUAAAAUCAGCUAAUCAAGCUAUUGGGCCCAUACCCCAAAAAUGUAGGUUAAACCCCGCCUUUUACUA